AUUAUCAGGCUAAUAUAGAAGCAAUUAUAAAAAUGGUAAACAUAAAUAAACUAUGAUCAGUGGAGCAGUGCUGAGGAUGAACUAUAGUUUAAGAGUCUGAUAGCUUGGGGGGAAAUGUUGCUCUGCAGUUGGUGCGGCAGCAGAAACUUCUAUAUCUCUUCCCAGAAGGCAGCAGGAUGAACAGGCUGUGGCUGGAUGUGAUGGAAAACCCAGUUGUGGCACCGUGCUGCCGCAGCCUCGUUGGAUGCCGGGUCUGCGUUGAGCAGUGGGCAACUACCUCGCCGCACUGCCCAAAAUGCAGGGACGAGAUGUUCCAAGAAAAAAAAAAAUUUAAAUUACAGGGAUGGGGGAGAUUGUGAAUGUUUUGAAAGACACUAUUAGUUAGGAGAUUGUUUUAGUUAGUUUUUAUUUUAGGUUUAGGUUUUAAGUUAAGUCAAAUGGUUAAGUUUGGUUAUGUUCAUCUGUUAUGUUAUUUUAUGCAAUUAAUAAAUUGUUCAAUUUUA